rnacentral:rRNA from 1 species
UGAACGCUGGCGGCAGGCCUAACACAUGCAAGUCGAGCGGUANCACAGAGAGCUUGCUCUCGGGUGACGAGCGGCGGACGGGUGAGUAAUGUCUGGGAAACUGCCUGAUGGAGGGGGAUAACUACUGGAAACGGUAGCUAAUACCGCAUAACGUCGCAAGACCAAAGUGGGGGACCUUCGGGCCUCAUGCCAUCAGAUGUGCCCAGAUGGGAUUAGCUAGUAGGUGGGGUAAUGGCUCACCUAGGCGACGAUCCCUAGCUGGUCUGAGAGGAUGACCAGCCACACUGGAACUGAGACACGGUCCAGACUCCUACGGGAGGCAGCAGUGGGGAAUAUUGCACAAUGGGCGCAAGCCUGAUGCAGCCAUGCCGCGUGUAUGAAGAAGGCCUUCGGGUUGUAAAGUACUUUCAGCGAGGAGGAAGGCGUUAAGGUUAAUAACCUUAGCGAUUGACGUUACUCGCAGAAGAAGCACCGGCUAACUCCGUGCCAGCAGCCGCGGUAAUACGGAGGGUGCAAGCGUUAAUCGGAAUUACUGGGCGUAAAGCGCACGCAGGCGGUCUGUCAAGUCGGAUGUGAAAUCCCCGGGCUCAACCUGGGAACUGCAUUCGAAACUGGCAGGCUAGAGUCUUGUAGAGGGGGGUAGAAUUCCAGGUGUAGCGGUGAAAUGCGUAGAGAUCUGGAGGAAUACCGGUGGCGAAGGCGGCCCCCUGGACAAAGACUGACGCUCAGGUGCGAAAGCGUGGGGAGCAAACAGGAUUAGAUACCCUGGUAGUCCACGCCGUAAACGAUGUCGACUUGGAGGUUGUGCCCUUGAGGCGUGGCUUCCGGAGCUAACGCGUUAAGUCGACCGCCUGGGGAGUACGGCCGCAAGGUUAAAACUCAAAUGAAUUGACGGGGGCCCGCACAAGCGGUGGAGCAUGUGGUUUAAUUCGAUGCAACGCGAAGAACCUUACCUACUCUUGACAUCCAGAGAACUUAGCAGAGAUGCUUUGGUGCCUUCGGGAACUCUGAGACAGGUGCUGCAUGGCUGUCGUCAGCUCGUGUUGUGAAAUGUUGGGUUAAGUCCCGCAACGAGCGCAACCCUUAUCCUUUGUUGCCAGCGGUUAGGCCGGGAACUCAAAGGAGACUGCCAGUGAUAAACUGGAGGAAGGUGGGGAUGACGUCAAGUCAUCAUGGCCCUUACGAGUAGGGCUACACACGUGCUACAAUGGCAUAUACAAAGAGAAGCGACCUCGCGAGAGCAAGCGGACCUCAUAAAGUAUGUCGUAGUCCGGAUUGGAGUCUGCAACUCGACUCCAUGAAGUCGGAAUCGCUAGUAAUCGUAGAUCAGAAUGCUACGGUGAAUACGUUCCCGGGCCUUGUACACACCGCCCGUCACACCAUGGGAGUGGGUUGCAAAAGAAGUAGGUAGCUUAACCUUCGGGAGGGCGCUUACCACUUUGUGAUUCAUGACUGGGGUGAAGUCGUAACAAGGUAACCGUAGGGGAACCUGCGGCUGGAUCACCUCCUUGCAU